rnacentral:rRNA from 1 species
UACGUAGGGUGCGAGCGUUAAUCGGAAUUACUGGGCGUAAAGCGUGCGCAGGCGGUUUUGUAAGCCAGAUGUGAAAUCCCCGGGCUCAACCCGGGAACUGCGUCCGAUACUGGAAGGCUUGAAUCCGGGAGAGGGAUGCGGAAUUCCAGGUGUAGCGGUGAAAUGCGUAGAUAUCAGGAGGAACACCGGUGGCGAAGGCGGGUCUCUGGGCCGAUACUGACGCUGAGGAGCGAAAGCGUGGGGAGCAAACAGG